UUUUAUACAAUACCAUCCUCACAAUUUCUUAAUUUUGUGCAAAUCAAUACCCUUCAAACGUUUUAAUUGGCUGAAACAACGGUAGGACUCUUUCAAACAAAUUACGAAUGUUUAAUUCAUUAGGUUGAUUCGGGUAAAAAGUGAAUCAAACACAGUUAUAUACAUGAGUAGCGUCUGCAUGUGCGAUUUUAUGAAAAUAAAGAAAAUGUGAUUUUUUUCAAAUGUGAAAAAAAUGAAAUGAAAUUUCGAUAAUUUAAGGCAACUGUUGUGCAGGUCAUAUCUUCUGCGAUUGACUUGCAUUCAUUAUGACGUAGUGCUUGUGCCAUUGACGUGACUUAGCUGACAUGUUGAGGACAGUAAGAGAUAAUUCAAAGGAUUAUGUUGCGGCCCCUCCACAUCUGUCAGUCAGGAUUGAAUUGAUUUCAUAUAGAUUUUUACACUCCUGCUAAGAAUCAAGACAGGUCUCUCUGGCAGUGUUGUAAAGGUCUGUAAGUUUGAAUCCUGGCAGGGACAUACUGUUGUUUCAUCUAUUGAAGCUACAAUGACAUUAUCUAUUCUGACAGAAGGUAAUUUAGCAUUCAGUGAAUACAAUUCCAGUAUGACAGUCAUAAAGAGUUCUUGUUGAAUAUGGUUCUUGGCAGGAAAUGAAGUUUGUUACGGAGGUCACCUGCCAUUACAGACCACAUAAGGACUGUCACAGGAGUGGUCUUUCACAUCAAAUAUGAAGUUGGCAUUUGGAAACAUGGAUCAAUUUGCCUUUAAACAUGAAAAUAUUGUGCUGUAUCAUCACCAACAUUACAUGCAAUAAAUAAAGUUUAUAACUCAGGU